GGGGGCACCAGCGCUGGGGAGGUGACACUGGUGACCCCAGUGACAGAAACUGGUGACACUGGUGAGCCCAGUGACAAAAACUGGUGACACUGGUGGGGCUCAGGUGCCCGGGGGUGUCCCCAGGGGUGUCCCCAGGGCUGUCCCCAUCCCUGCUGUCCCCAGGGCUGUCCCCGCUUUCCCCAGGGCUGUCCCCAGGGCUGUUGUCCCCAGGUCUGUCCCUGCUGUCCCCAGGGCUG